rnacentral:rRNA from 1 species
GACGAACGCUGGCGGCGUGCUUAACACAUGCAAGUCGAACGGAAAGGCCUUUUCGGAGGUACUCGAGUGGCGAACGGGUGAGUAACACGUGGGUGAUCUGCCCUGCACUCUGGGAUAAGCCUGGGAAACUGGGUCUAAUACCGGAUAGGACCGCACUUUAGUGUGUGUGGUGGAAAGUUUUUUCGGUGUAGGAUGAGCCCGCGGCCUAUCAGCUUGUUGGUGGGGUAAUGGCCUACCAAGGCGGCGACGGGUAGCCGGACUGAGAGGUUGGUCGGCCACAAUGGGAAUGAGAUACGGCCCAGAAUCCCACGGGAGGCAGCAGGGGGGAAUAUUGCACAAGGGGGGCAAGCCUGAUGCAGCGACGCCGGGGGGGGGAUGAAGGGCUUCGGGUUGGAAACUCCGUUCGCCAGGGACGAAGCGUUUUGUGACGGUACCUGGAGAAGAAGCACCGGCUAACUACGUG